rnacentral:lncRNA from 12 species
GGAAUGGACUAUAAAGAUGCUUGUGCACCAAAUUCAGGUCUGUAUUCAGGAAUACGCGUCACUGUUUUCCGUGGCUCUGUCAGCUGUUGUGAUUUGAUGCAGGAGAUUUACAAAGGGAGACCAGGUGAAAAAUAAGCUCGGGCAUCUGUCAAAAGUCCAAGGAUGAGUGAAUCAUUGUUUCCUUACAAACAGGAAAGCAUCACAAGACCCGACAGGAUCAUGUAUCUGCAAAAUAAUUCCCAUCGCCGCAAAUCAGCAGCACACUUCAACUUGUGUUGUUCAUUUGUCACAUUUAUCAUUUAGCAUGCUUAUUAUAAUAAGUGCCUUGGUUUCUGGUUAUGGAUUAAUGAAGUGCUUGUGGAAGUGAUGUGUUUUCAGCUGAUUCUUGAAGGUAGAGAUGUUCUCAUCAGAUCAGAUGAAGGUUGAAUGUUUCUCGAGUGAAGCUUCUGAGGGAACCACUAGGUGGCGCUCAUUCAUUGUUAAACUUUCUCUAUAUAUUUAUUCAGUUCAACAAUAACCUACUUUAACCAUUCAGUUAUCUCAAUAAAUUCAUAGAACAAAUGCUUUGUGACAAUAAGCUGGAAUUUAACAAUCAAUCCAGCAUUAAUCUUGAGUUUACACAGAUCUAAAAGUGUAUCAAACCUUUAAAACAAACUUACCAUGAGUUCUCAGGACAGUCAUUAUUUAAUUUCCAAAAAUCCAUUAAUGGAUAAAUUCCAUGUGAAGAAGAUCUGCACUACUCUUAUUGUACUGUCAGUUUUUACUUGAUUUGUCAUGCACAUCAUCAAUGUACUGUAAUUGCACAUUAUAAUGUGAAAAGUAAAAAAAAAAAAAUUAAUAUGCAUUGUU